UAUUCAUUAUUUCUUGUUUUGGCCAAAAAAAAAUCUGAUUGGAAUAUUUUUUUUUUCCCCAGUGGGCUUCUAGAAAACAUUUUGAAGUUUUUCCUGGAAGAACAGCUUUAUCAAGUAGCAGCACAUCCAGUAGAAAAGAGAAGGCCCUUUGGACACAUGAUGACUGCAGCAGGGAUGAUUGUAAAGAGAAGCUAUACCUGCAGUUUUACCAACAGAUGCAGCAAGAAUAUGAUGGAGAGAGACCUGACUGUGUCAUUGUUGCCAUCAGCAAGGAGCAAAAGUAGUUUCUGUUACAAUCUUUCAGCUAAUUCUGUUACAGAAACGAUAGCUACAUAGGUAUUAACGUUAAACCAGUGCAGCACCAACAGGAAGCUAAACUCAAGUCUUUACUUAACUAAGAAGAUACUACUGACACAACUGGCCACAGUGGAAGUCCUGUUACUACAAGUCCUGUGGAAGCACUGCAGACCCACGUCCAGCGGGAAUGGAAGGGAUCCAGAAUAAGUAGAUGACAGAGAAAUCCUUUCUCCCAGUUGUGAUUAAAAGUACAGAAACACGGUAUUUUUUAACAGUAAACAUCAUAAGUUGAUAAGUAACGUUCCAAGGCUGUAAGUUAUUUUUAUGGCAACAUUCAGAAGGCAGAUGUAGAGCCUGGAAAAUCCUCGGUCCUGAAGGCGAUUGUGUCAUGAAGCGCGGAUCCUCUGCCUGACUCCCACACUGUUUCCCGGGGCACGUAACGGGAAGAGGCUGAAAUGAACGCUUUGCUCAGCGAGCGAUGGAAGGGGAAAAAUACCUGUUUGUGUUUGUAGGGUGCUGCAUGGCCGGUAUCUUUAGCACUGUUAUCGGUAAUGAUUGUUUUCCUGGAGCUGUGCAGGAGUGUGCAUGUGCGAUUCCUCCACAGAUGGGUAUUUGGGGAUAAUUGAGCUAAAUUCAGUGCCAGCCUAUGAUAGUAUUUUUCAGAAAGUGUCACUAACUGCGCCACUUACGCUGUCUUGGUUUUAGACUGUCCUGUGUCUUUUUUAAUAGAAGGAAAAAUGAUUGAUAGAGGUGAGUGCCAGACACCGGUGAAAAGGAAUUUGAAAUCACCGCAUCAUUACAAAUGUCUGAGUUGUAACGCCAGCACACGUGGCACGCAUAAUCCUGCACAUGGGAAGAUGUUUCGCAGUGUAACUUCCCUGUGGUUUUUCAGUUCUCGUGGACAACAGCUUGCCCCUGUUUUACUGCAAGUUGCCAAAGCACAAAGCGGCACGCACACUGGCGCUGGGUCCUGCCCGCAGCCCCACCAGCAGCCCUUGGGGUGAAGCUUUUCCUCCCUGUGCGUGUCCUCCCUCCGGAGCGCCCCUGGCUCCUGCCUCUGCCGCUCUCGGUAGCCUGAAUUUCAGGCCGUGGCAGCCCUCUGCUGUGACUGAAGCGGGGAUGCCAGUUAUUUAUUUAUGUAAAACGUUCUGAGGCAUUAACUCGCAAACACCAUAGAAACUGGGCUGGUAUUGUAGUCGGGGCUUUUAUUCGGGUUGUCUGAUGCGCCGUGGAUGCCGCCUGCCUUUGUGUGCUCCGGUCCCAUGUUUACCCUGACGAUGCCUUUGUGUUCCCCAUUUGACAUAUUUUACUGUAAAUAAAGAGCGACACUGUCUUGCAGCUGUAUCCACUGUGACAUUUGACUCUCAGCUGAAUGAGUGCAUUGUGCCAUGUGUUUUGGAAACAUUAUCUCUUUUUAAGAACUAAUCCAGGCCUUUA